ensembl:lncRNA
CGCCACCCCCGGGCCGCUGCGCUCCAUUCCACUCCCGGCAGCACCACCGCGGGCUCUCCCGUCUCUCCGGUGCAGCGCUCCGCGCUGAGAGCCGGGGGCAGGAAGGGCCCCCCCGGCAGCGCUUCCCCGGGCGGGGCUGCACCCCCCCCAGCGCAACCGCCUCCCCCGGGGGCCCGGCACGGCCGCCCAUUGGGAAGAUCCGUGCUGGCUCUCAGGGGAUUCAAAUCGGCCCUUAAUGCGGGGUAGCUCCUAACGUGGGCGCAGCUGAGCAGGGCACGGCGAUGGAGCAGCUUACGGUGAGCACGGGACGGGUGCAUCUUAUGGGAUGUUUUCAGAAAUAGCCACCGGUUAUGAAAGCCUUCAUUUUGGGGGGCACGCAGCUGCAGCGCCAUGUACAAAACCGCACACGCUUCCCAUCAGCAGACGCUUUAAGAAACAAAUCCUAGCUUCAAUGUGGCUGGAGGACCACGGAUACAAAUGCUAAAGGUUUGAAGGCUAUGAGCGGUAAUGUUGCAGGAUGCUGAAAAGUGGGGGUAGAGGGUGCGCUUUAAGGUAUUUUCUGUUGCUUCUGCAUGAUGAGUUUGCCUGUUUUGGAAUCAUGUGGCUUUGCUGGGUGCAGUUGGCUCAGGGCUCCAUGCAGGGCCCCAGCCAUGGCGCGGCGUGGUGGCGUGAAACCACUGCUGUGCAUCCACCCCAAAGGGGUGGAACUCAGUGAAGCCAACAUUUGCGAUAUUAAAGUGCCGACAAACCAGCAGUUGGGAAAGAAUUGCAAGGAAAUAUGAUUUUGUUACGUGUUUAUGGUCAGUCCUUACUGCCACUCUGUGCAACAGUGGAGGAGUGCUGGGUGGGAGGGCUGGGAGCCACCUGGGCUUUCUGUGUUUCUGCCGGUGGGAUGCGACCUGAGCAGCUUGGAUGGAUUGUUAACAAUGUUUUAGGUUUGGUGGGAUUUCUGUGCAAACACUGGCAGAUGGCACGAGUGGCUCAUGUGUUUUCAUCUCUCUGUUCCUUCCACGGCAUCUUGCGAAGCCAGAGAUCUUCACGUAUCACCUCUCUUUCCGUAUGACCUCUUUAUCUGGCUGUUUUUCCCUCUCCUCAGCCAGCCCAUGCCCUGGGCUAUCGCUACAUCCCGUUGGUCCUAGAGCCCAGACCGCCUCUGUCCUUCUGUUUGCUGACAUCCCUUAGCAAAGCAGUGCAAAGCGUUCAGGCAUCACCUGCCAGCAGAUGAGGUGUUCAGAUGGAGAAGGGGGCACGAGCAGUGAGGGUUUGUAACUGCAGCCAGGCUCUGGGUACCGUGUUUGCAAGGCACAGGCGCGAGGUGCUGCAGUGCAGGUUUGUGGUGUGAGCCAGAACAGGAACCAGCCCUCCCCGUGAGCUGCAGGCUGUGUGCUCUCUGCGCCGUACAGGGCCGGCCUGUUUAUACAGCUCCCGAUGGAGGUGAUGGAUUGGGCAACCUUUUUGCACUGCACUUAGGCUAAAAUGUUUCUGGCCUCACCUUAAGGAGGAAACCGUGUGUUUGCCUCCAUCGUCAGUGUUUUGAACCACACGACCAGAGCCAGAUAAAACACACGUCUGAGCCAAAUCACAAUGAAUGUAAACAGUUAUGACAAAUCAUUGGAGUAACCUUUUUCCCUCUCUCUCGACAGCUUAAUGCUGCUGCAGACCUCAGCCUUAAGGAACAGGUAGGCACGGCUUAGCUCAGCAUCGUUUCAAAUGCCAGGUUCAAAACAUGUUCAACUCCACCGAGUCGUGGGCAGCGGGGCUCUCCUUUGUCAGAGAUUCGUACUGAAGACAAACAUUGGUGGCAAUUGUGUCUAAAAAUACCUCCGAACCUGCUUCUUGGGGGCGAGCGCAGACGCCAGGCGCCUGACCAUGGCCGUAAAUUGCUGUCGGUGACACAGCUCGGGCGUAUUUAGGGGACCCAGCUUUGCCCUUUCCUUGACAGGACAGCGGCUCGCCCUGGGGUUCGUCUGCUCGUGUCACUGUCAUCUGUCAUGACACACUCGCGCGGGACCCAGCUGCUUACGCUGGGAAAGAAGAAAUGUGAAAAUAAUUGGUUGAUGCUUAUGUGGCUCCUUAGGCUACACCUGCACAGCCCUUUUCGGGGCUCUCUAUUUGAAGAAUCAUUAACCUUACAUAUACAUACUGCCCUGUAUCUUAGAUAAUGUGCCCUUCUGCCGUUAACCUUUACAUAAUGCAAGUGGGAAAAAAAGCCUCAUCACUACUGAGCGCGUCCGAGUGCAGCCUGGCUGCAGUUUAACGAUGAUACUGAAAGCGUCGUCAUGUUUUGGUAUACUCCUUUCUGAGGUGAGAUUGAUCCUCCUAGAAUCUUUUCAACUCCGGGUUUUUAGCGAUGCAAAAAAGCAAACAAACAAACAAACAAACAAAAAAACCCCGAUGCAGCAAAAUGCGCGAGGGCUGGGCUGUGAACACAGAGCUGCUCUGUGCUGCUGAGAAGCAGCCGCCAAGCGGAGUGAGCACGGCGAGCACCAGCUCCGGCACACGCAGGGCUCUGGCUGCUGCCUGCGCUCAGCACGGCGCUGCCUCCAGCUUCUCCCAGCAGUGCUGGCAGGGCCUCAGCCUGGGCACGCUGCUUGGCCGUGUGCUGUGUUGUGCUUGCAGGGGGUAGCCUCGGGCAGCGUGCUACCAGCAUUAUGAGGGAUUUAAGGGGGGAGAGAGAAAAGCGUGGCUCCUAGCAUAAGAUUCACGCAGCAAAGGCCCUGUAAGGGAAAGCCCCAUAUCCCUGGAACACGAGUGCAGACAUAUUGUUAGGGGGUAGAAAGGCAGUAAUUAGGGCUGGGGACCGAUCGCACUUCGUUGCCAGAGGAGGUUAUUCUCACCAUGGAUACACAGCCAGCUCUGUUUUACUCUGUCAUUUUUGCUUUUGAGCCUGCUGGAAACCUUGGAGAAGUGACAAACGGGACUCAGAAGCGUGCAAGAAAAGUUACUUCUGGGCAAAACAUCAUCCAUCAGGAUACCACUUACAGUGUAUUUUGGUAGAAGUCCCCAAAUUACAGUUCUUCAAAAUUAAAAUAAAGAUCACGCAUAAUAUGGGCAGCUUGUUUCUGGAUUUCACAGAGCUCCCAUCUUUUGCUGCAAGCUGCUUCUAAUGUUGCAAUGAAAUCCAUAUUCUGCUGCUUCUACUUCUGUUUUGCACCAGGUUUCUUGUUUUUAAACAUAUUGUGUUCGAUGGGGAGUGUGACUUGACUGUCAAAUGGCAAUGCUGUAUAUGCAGCCUUUACAACUGCCAGCCUGAAUGAUUCCAUGGGUGAAAUCACAUUGGUCAGGUGGUGUUGGCAUGGUUCAUGCAGUGGGUGCAUAUUGCAUGGGGGCAGGCUGCAUUGCUGGCCCCGGGGCCUACUGACACGCAGUGCCAGGCUGCAGUGCUGGGAGCAUUGGGGCCUACUGGACACACAGUGCCAGGCUGCAGUGCUGGGAGCGUUGGGGCCUACUGACACACAGUGCCAGGCUGCAGUGCUGGGAGCGUUGGGGCCUACUGACACACAGUGCCAGGUCACAGUGCUGGGAGUGUUGGGGCCUACUCAGUACUGGGGCCUACUGACACAGUGCUGGCUCAACGCCGCUUACAGAGCAGGGUGCU